CCUUACCAGACGGCGCACUCGCACAACUCUCGGCUGACGUCUCGGAACAGGAGAUGGCAGCCGCGAUUGGAGCCACCAAACCAAAUAAAAGCCCGGGCCCAGAUGGAUACUCAGGCAUCUAUUACAAAACACUUUUUUAGACACACUACUGCCCCAUAUGAUAAGGCUAUAUAACUCCCUACUACAAGCAAAACCACUCCCCAAAGAAAUGCUACAGGCUAACAUCUGCCUCUUACCCAAGCCCAACAAACCCCUAUCAGCCCCAGGCCACUACAGACCCAUA